GACGAGCGCUGGCGGCGUGCUUAACACAUGCAAGUCGAACGAUGAAGCCCAGCUUGCUGGGUGGAUUAGUGGCGAACGGGUGAGUAACACGUGAGUAACCUGCCCUUGACUCUGGGAUAAGCGCUGGAAACGGCGUCUAAUACCGGAUACGACCUGCCCCGGCAUCGGGUGCGGGUGGAAAGUUUUUCGGUCAAGGACGGACUCGCGGCCUAUCAGCUAGUUGGUGAGGCAAUGGCUCACCAAGGCGACGACGGGUAGCCGGCCUGAGAGGGUGACCGGCCACACUGGGACUGAGACACGGCCCAGACUCCUACGGGAGGCAGCAGUGGGGAAUAUUGCACAAUGGGCGAAAGCCUGAUGCAGCAACGCCGCGUGGGGGAUGACGGCCUUCGGGUUGUAAACCUCUUUUAGUAGGGAAGAAGGGCUUCGGCUUGACGGUACCUGCAGAAAAAGCACCGGCUAACUACGUGCCAGCAGCCGCGGUAAUACGUAGGGUGCAAGCGUUGUCCGGAAUUAUUGGGCGUAAAGAGCUCGUAGGCGGUUUGUCGCGUCUGCUGUGAAAACCCGAGGCUCAACCUCGGGCCUGCAGUGGGUACGGGCAGACUAGAGUGCGGUAGGGGAGAAUGGAAUUCCUGGUGUAGCGGUGGAAUGCGCAGAUAUCAGGAGGAACACCGAUGGCGAAGGCAGUUCUCUGGGCCGUUACUGACGCUGAGGAGCGAAAGCGUGGGGAGCGAACAGGAUUAGAUACCCUGGUAGUCCACGCCGUAAACGUUGGGAACUAGAUGUGGGGACCUUUCCACGGUCUCCGUGUCGCAGCUAACGCAUUAAGUUCCCCGCCUGGGGAGUACGGCCGCAAGGCUAAAACUCAAAGGAAUUGACGGGGGCCCGCACAAGCGGCGGAGCAUGCGGAUUAAUUCGAUGCAACGCGAAGAACCUUACCAAGGCUUGACAUAUACCGGAAACUUCCAGAAAUGGUUGCCCCGCAAGGUCGGUAUACAGGUGGUGCAUGGUUGUCGUCAGCUCGUGUCGUGAGAUGUUGGGUUAAGUCCCGCAACGAGCGCAACCCUCGUUCUAUGUUGCCAGCACGUCAUGGUGGGAACUCAUAGGAGACUGCCGGGGUCAACUCGGAGGAAGGUGGGGAUGACGUCAAAUCAUCAUGCCCCUUAUGUCUUGGGCUUCACGCAUGCUACAAUGGCCGGUACAAAGGGCUGCGAUACCGUAAGGUGGAGCGAAUCCCAAAAAGCCGGUCUCAGUUCGGAUUGAGGUCUGCAACUCGACCUCAUGAAGUCGGAGUCGCUAGUAAUCGCAGAUCAGCAACGCUGCGGUGAAUACGUUCCCGGGCCU
rnacentral:rRNA from 1 species